CAGAUAGAUGACCUGCCCCCAAGACUGGGAUAAUCCAUCGAAAGGUGGCAUAAUACCAGAUAAUGUAUUAAGCUUACGGGCUUACUAUUAAAGUCGGCUUCGGCUUUCGCUUGGGGAGGGGUUUAUCUCCCAUUAGCUAGUUGGCAGGGUAACGGCCUACCAAGGCGAUGAUGGGUAGGGGAUCUUAGCGGAUGACCCCCAACACUGGGACUGAGAUACGGCCCAGUCUCCUACGGGAGGCAGCAAUCGAGGAUCCUCCGCAAUGGGCGAAAGCCUGACGGGGCGACGCCGCGUGACUGAUGAAGGCCCUGACGGGUCGUAAAAGUCUAACAGAGAACAUGAUGUGUGUUACGGUUAAUACCCGUAACACAUGACGUCAAUCUCAAAUGAAGCCCCCGCUAAAUAUGUGCCAGCAGCGGCGGUAAUACAUAUGGGGCAAGCGUUGUUCGGAUUCACUGGGCAUAAAGCGCAUGUAGGCGGCGCAGUAAGUUGAUUGUGAAAUCCCUUGGCUCAACUGAGGAAUUGCAGUCAAUACUGCAGCGCUAGAGUACAGGAGGGGAGAGUAGAAUUCCAGGUGUAGCGGUGGAAUGCGAAGAUAUCUGGGAGAAUGCCGAUAGCGAAAGCGACUCUCUGGCCUGCCACUGACGCUGAGAUGCGAGAGCGUAGGGAGCAAACGGGAUUAGAUACCCCGGUAGUCUACGCUGUAAACGAUGGGCACUAGGCGGUAGGAACGCCGAUAGUUUCUUCUGCCGAAGCAAAUGCGUUAAGUGCCCCGCCUGGGGAGUAUGGUCGCAAGACUGAAACUCAAAGGAAUUGACGGGGGCCCACACAAGCGGUGGAGGAUGUGGCUUAAUUGGAGGCUACGCCUAGAACCUUACCGAGGCUUGACAUGCAGGGAUUAACUCGCAGAAACGCGGGUGAUUGCCGUCAAGGUGUAACCUGCACAGGUGCUGCAUGGCUGUCGAAAGCUCGUGUUGUGAGAUGUUAGGUUAAGUCCUGUAACGAGCGAAACCCCUAUGCUUAGUUGCCAGCGCGUCAUGGCGGGGACUCUAAGCAGACUGCCUCGGCUAACGGGGAGGAAGGAGGGGAUGACGUCAAGUCAGCAUGGCCCUUAUGUCUCGGGCUGCACACGUCCUACAAUGGUCUGUACAAUGGGAACCGAUAUCGCGAGGUGGAGGAAAUCCUGAAAAGCAGAUCCCAGUUCAGAUUGCAGGCUGCAACUCGUCUGCAUGAAGAUGGAAUCGCUAGUAAUCGCCGGUCAGCCACACGGCGGUGAAUCCGUCCCUGGGCCUUGUACACACCGCCCGUCAAGCCACCCGAGUUGGCUGCACCCGAAAUCCAUAAACCAACCCGCAAGGGAGGGAAUGGCUGAAGGUGUGUCCGAUAAGGUGGACUAAGUCGUAACAAUGUA
rnacentral:rRNA from 1 species